AAUUCACUGCUUUAUGUACAAGAACAAUAUCAGCUAGUGAUUACUUGCAUCUUUCAAGUGAAGCACAUGCUGAAAUUGCGUAGUGGAUUGCACCAUUGCACCGGAGUGGAGGAAGUUCCUUGGUUCCCUUUUCUUCAGCUAACACUAAUAUUGGCUUUGGAGCUGCUGUGAGGGGAGUGAUGACUGUGAACUAAGGGAAAAUAUUGCAGCUACAAUUCAGAAGUCUUGAUCCAGGUUCCCUGUGGUCUCCUACAAAGGCCUCCGUUUUCCUUGCAGUUCUCCCUCUUCACGUUCUGGACUCAUGGCACUGAGGGAUGCAGCAGAUCAGUAAACAAAGGUAACCACAGAGCUUAAAUCUCCAAAUAGCCACUCACUCUGCUUUGGACAGCAAGCACAUGAGUGGCUAUUUCUAGGUAGAAGCAUUUUUCAGCACUGAGUUUUAUGGGGUGAUGGCAGCUUUGAGGCCAAAAGACUGCCCAGUAGUUAUUUGCCUUCCAGAGUGCUGUAGCCAUGGAAGAGGACAAGGCUAGAGUCUGCCUUUACCAACCCAAUGACUUUACAGAACUUAUCCUAAAAGUUACAUGCAGAGAAAAUACAAAGGACUUGAUAUCCAGAAGGUUAACUUUCUGUUAAUUGAGCUGCCACUGGAAAAGUAGUUCCCAUUGAAGCUGGUCUUUUGUUGCCUGAUAAAUGUUGAAAGGAUCAGUAUAUACUUAGGUCAAUGGAAAAAAUAAGAUCUUGUGCUGGGAAAUGUGGGAAAACAAUACAUAUCUUUAAAAAGAAAAGAAAAAAGGAAAUAAAUGGAAAAAGAGAAAAAAGGAAGGUAAAGAAAAGGAAAGCAAAGCAAAGCAAAGAGACUUUCAGAGCAUAAGGGAAAGAAAUCCCCUGUUCUUUCCAAGUAUAUGGAACAUCAUAGCUGUUGUAAAUAGGCCAGUCCCAAAGAAAUCACACGUGUUCCAAAUGGGAAGAGAUUAUUUGCUGCAUCAUUUUAGCAUGUUUGAUUUAUCAGUAACUAAUGGAAAAUUGACAGGGGCUUUGAACAAAGUAAUUCAAUGUGUCAAAGCUCAAAAUUUGGCAUCAAAUAUGUUUUACUUAUGGUAUAUUCACAUGGUGAGAGUAUAGGUAUUAAUGAACUCCAUUCUAAUUCUUCUUUGUAAGCUGCAUUGUUAAUAUACUGUUAGUAACCAUAGGGUUUAAAGCAAUUAGGACAAAGAGUAGGACAAGGAGAAAGAAGACAUUUGAAUAUUGCACCAUUCAGAGCAAGAACUUAGAGACUGAACAGAAUUGCCUCUAUUUAGUGAUGAGUUUGGUAUCCUCAUUCAGGUUUUUAGAUAAUUUGGGGGAUAGACUCUUUUCUUAUGCAGUCCUAGUGACCAGAUGAUGAUUGGUGGUAUUUGCUAAGCGUGGAAGUUUUAAACUUGUCUUGGUGAAGGAGUGGGGUUUAUGAGACCAACUGUUAUGCCUACAUUCUCUCAGUCACCCCAAGCAGUGUUGAAUAUUUUGUCCAGAUUCAGUCAAAAUUGGGAGUAGUUAAAGCCCUCUUUCUACUGAGUUUCUAGUUUCUUAUAGUGUUGUCUUAAAUAUUUUCCUAAAACAUUGCCUGGAUAGAAAACCCAGGUUCAAAUUAACCCCUUCUUGUGGGAAAGGCAGUCUGAAUUCAACCACUGUUUUAUUUUGUUUGGCAGCUGUGAACCAGUCAGCAGGUGCAUCCUCUGACAAGUCAGCAAACAGCUCCCUGGUAGACUCUCAUUUAGGAAAUAGGAAGGGAGGGCUCUUACAGCAGGUAUGGUGUAGGGAACAAGGGACGUUUUCUGUAGGGAACCAAGUAAAUCUAUUCUGGUGCUUACACUACAAUAUGCUUUUCAGUUCUGUUCUGUGUUAGCCAUGCCCACUGAUAUCAACGGGAGUUGUAUUGUGGGUUGAAAGGAUAACAGCACAAGGACAGUGAUGUACAAUCUUGAAAAGCCUCUGUGUCCAGAGAGAGCUCCCUGAAUGCUCUCACUAAUGACUCCUUACAGAACUUACAGAAUGAAAUCCUAGUACUGCUCCUGCCAAGGUCAUGGAGACAGCUUAUGAGAACAGAUUGAAGUUUUCAUUGUGUCAGGGUCUGGAUGUUAUUGUAUUUGGGAAAACACUUAAUAGCAAUACUUUUGCAGCUCUUUCUCUGUCUGUUGAUUUUUCCAGUGAUUGUGUGUUAAUUAUUCAGUUCCAACAAGUGAAUGAAGAAAUGGAAACGUCCAAGGGUAGUCUGAAUCAUUUGUUUCAGAGAGUUGAAUAUGUUGCUUUUCAUUGCCAACAGCUUGGUGACUCCCAGGGAGCUGAUGAGUAGAUGCAACCUUAUUGCCUAGGGUUUUGAAUUGUCCAGAGAGACUCAGAAAUGUGCUUAUAUUGUGAAAACAAAACAAAAUUAGUCACCUUUUCAUGCCAAUUAACUUAAUCUUAACUUGCACAGUGAUUUCUGUGCACGUAGCAGAUAAUUGCAUACAUUGUUCAGCAGUGUAGGAACUUUGUAUAUAAACUUCUGUCUUUCUCUGUGUGACUAAAAUGAGACCAGUUCUGCUGGCUUGAAAUAAGGAGUCUGCAAAAGAGGUAUCAGGAAGAGAUUUAGAUUUGGUCAGACAACUUAC